UACAGAGGUCUCGAGCGUUAGGCGGAAUCACUGGGCUUAAAGCGUGUGUAGGCGGAUUGGUAAGUACUUUGUGAAAUCCCACGGCUUAACCGUGGAACUGCUUGGUAUACUGCCAGUCUUGAGCCAGCUAGGGGCUACCGGAACAAAUGGUGGAGCGGUGAAAUGCGUAGAUAUGCGGAGGAACACCGAUGGCGAAGGCAAUCCCCUGGGCCUGCACUGACGCUCAUGCACGAAAGCGUGGGGAGCAAACAGG
rnacentral:rRNA from 1 species